rnacentral:lncRNA from 14 species
CAUUCCAGCAACAGCUGGAGGAACGGUGGAAGAGCGGCCUUGAGCAGCUCAAGGAAACGGCGCCGCCAACGGAAGCCGACGAUGCAGCUGGGAUUAGGAAGCAGCUGCUGGCAGAUUUCCAGUGCCUGUCUUGUGACAGGCAACUCAGCAUGCGGGUGCCUGGCUCGCCUAUCCCGCCAAUCCCGCCCUCUCCACCGCUGGUCCCUCACGUCGCUGGACAAUCCCAGCCUGUUGGAAAGAUGGAGCAAACACACAGGGAGCGGAUGGCGGCAUGCAAGUACCCCACCGUGCCACGGCAGUGUGGGGGCCAGCGUACCCUCACACCCCUGCCGCAGCGCAGCCUGCGCCUCCCACUUCUCCAGCCCAGCGCCCCACAGGCACUCAGGCCCUCCAGCCCGCGCCUCCCACUUCUCCAGCCCAGCGCCCCACAGGCACUCAGGCCCUCCAGCCCGCGCCUCCCACUUCUCCAGCCCAGCGCCCCACAGGCACUCAGGCCCUCCAGCCUGCUCCCCAGCAAGCAUGACAAGAAAGAGCAGCUGGGCCAGGACAGCCGCAGGGCUGAGCCCAGCCCCUCAGCACCCGGCACCUCUGGCCCUCUGCAAGACAGGUCGGGCUCAUCCCACAGCCAGCCUCGCCGAGUACACUGGCCCCACCAGCCCGUCCAGCCCCACUGGAUGGCUGAGAACCAGCUGAUCAGGAGAGCGGUGUGGCUUCUGACAAACAAAGGAUUCUUGGUGUAGCAGAAGAAUAAAAACCCAUGGGUUGUUUCUCA